GUUCCAAGAACCUGCUUGGGAGCCGUGAGUCCCCUCCCCUCCAACCCAGGACACCCUGACCUCUGGAGUCCCCCAUCCCAGGCCCCUGUCUCCCACCCUGCCGUUGUCCACCCAAGGAGUUCCUGUCUCAACGCCAUCCCUGCGACCGCCUACAGGUGACCUCAAAAGCUCUGUGACCUUGGACCUGGCCCUCGACCCUGGCCGCCUGAGUCCCCGUGCCAACUUCCAGGAAACAAAGAACCGGAGUCUGAGCCGAGUCCGAGUCCUCGGGCUGGAGGCACACUGUGAAAACUUCAACCUGCUGCUCCCGACCUGCGUGGAGGACUCUGUGACCCCCAUCACCUUGCGUCUGAACUUCACGCUGGUGGGCAAGCCCCUCCCUGCCUUCAGAAACCUGCGGCCUAUGCUGGCCGCCGAUGCUCAGAGAUACUUCACGGCCUCCCUACCCUUUGAGAAGAACUGUGGAGCCGACCAUAUCUGCCAGGACAAUCUCGGCAUCU
rnacentral:sRNA from 1 species